rnacentral:lncRNA from 1 species
AUGGCUGCCGGCCCUCACACCCCAGGGCGGCGCACAGGGCCUGGGCCUGACGACGUCCUUAGGGUCCCUGAGCAGCCGGGUCCUCACGGCCCUCGGCGACCCGGGGUCCCCGGGAUGGAGCGAGGCUCUGGGCCUUCAGCAGACGCCGGGGCCCCAGACAGCCCUGACCCGAGCUCCAGAGACAUCCGAGCCCAGGCUCCGAGAGAACCACCCCCGGCCGGGUGCGUCCGAGUCAGUGCUCCCCCGAAGGCGGGGACGUCGGGCGAGAAGCAACUGCAAGGACUCGCGGGAAGAAGCCACCGGGAAUCAUGGCGGCCGCGCUCGGAGGGACGGCUGUGCACGCUCCCGACACAGGUGGCUAAUGCGGAAUCCUGGUCAACAAAGUCUGCAGCCCUGCAGCCUGCUGCGAUGUUUGCUGAGCAGCAGACACAGGUGAAGAGUUGCUCUGAUAACGCCCUGAUCUGCUGCAGCUGUAGGUGAAGGAGCAGCUUAGGAUAGAAAUCAAGAUAAGAGCAACAAACCCAGGCUCCCGCGAGAAGCCAGUGGGUGUCCAACUUGAGGGCGGAGGAAGGCCCCGCACUGCCUGGACGAGGACUGACUGCGGCCAAUUCACUCCGGGGCUGGGCGUCCACGUCCAGCCAGAACGCAGAACUUGCCGGGGUGCGCCGCUCACCCAGGCCCCGCCGUCCCCGCCGUGAGGGUGCUCAGCUCUGCGUGGCUUGACUGUGGGCCCUCAGGUGUCCUUGUCCAGGGCUCAGCCUCCCCAUCCUCUGCAGCGGGGACAUUCUAAGUGAGUGUCUUGUUUAAAAAACAAAGGUGGUAAAAACUGGAGUGUGAGAGGUUAACAAGUUGGCUCCUGCUUUACUAUGGGGGGUCCCUGGCAGCUCCUCUGUUGAAGGACGCAUGGGGCAUCUGUGCCGCUCUCGUAGGGACGUUUCCAGGGCCUUGUGUGACUGUGUUCACGUCUGCCCCUCUCACCUCUGAGCUCCUCCCCACCGCGCUUGUGAGUGGAGCAGCCCAGGAGACUGUAUGUGGGGUUUUCCAACCACAAAGCGUGGGGGCUUUGGAGUCUGACGUGCUCCUCGGCGUGGCCACAUGUGCCUCUUUCUCCACUCCUGGCCAUCAGCUGCCCUCAAGAAGUCAGCCACCCCUGCAGAUGGACAAUGAGUACGCAAAGCCAGGGAGGAAGGGCUUUGUCGGGGGAGCUUGGCGUAGGCGUCCACUUCGUCAGGGCCUCAGCUCUUGCCUGGUGAUUCCUGUGGGCUGAUGUACCCAUCACGGGGCACAGAGUGGGACGCCUGCCAUGCCGUCCUCCCUGCAAACCACAGCCAACAUCCAGGCCCCGCCUUUCACUCGAAGCUCAGUCCUUGUUCUGCCCGGGGGAUCUGGUGCAUCCUGCUGUGUCCAAGGCCCUUGCUAUGGUCCCUGGAGUGGUCUCAGGGGCUGUGCCACACCGCAGGGGCCUCGGAUGGCCCCCAUGUCUCACUGAGCAGACAACCAAUUUUCAGUAUGCAGGUGACAAGCAAGAAGCGGCGUCACCCCUAAACCUUGAGUUUCUUUGCCAAGCAGGAAGCGGUGUCACCCCUAAACCUUGAAGUUCUCCAGUCCUGGGCGUCCCCACUGCCUCCUUCCGGGUCACGUGUUCACAGAGCUAGGGGAAGACCCAGAGACUCCAACGUAUCCUCCAGGACCUGCAGAUGGGCAGAGGCAGAGGCAAGUCCAGCACCCGUGCCGUGCAGUGGAGACCCAGAGAUCAGGCCAGAUGCCUGCAUCUGUGCCGGCUAUGCCACCGCAGCAGCGCUGUCCCCAGACACCUAGAACCGUCCGCGUGCACAGGCUCGUGGCUGCCCUGGCGGAGGUGCCCCAUGCACCCCCUCAUCUGAUGUCAGGUACACUCCUGCCCCAGGCCAGUGCUGUUGCAAAGCUGGAGUUUGUGUUCAGGCUGAUUAUCUUGAACUUAGGCUAAUCUUCCA